GAUGAACGCUGGCGGCGUGCCUAAUACAUGCAAGUCGAGCGAACAGACGAGGAGCUUGCUCCUCUGACGUUAGCGGCGGACGGGUGAGUAACACGUGGAUAACCUACCUAUAAGACUGGGAUAACUUCGGGAAACCGGAGCUAAUACCGGAUAAUAUAUUGAACCGCAUGGUUCAAUAGUGAAAGACGGUUUUGCUGUCACUUAUAGAUGGAUCCGCGCCGCAUUAGCUAGUUGGUAAGGUAACGGCUUACCAAGGCAACGAUGCGUAGCCGGCCUGAGAGGGUGAUCGGCCACACUGGAACUGAGACACGGUCCAGACUCCUACGGGAGGCAGCAGUAGGGAAUCCUCCGCAAUGGGCGAAAGCUUGACGGAGCAACGCCGCGUGAGUGAUGAAGGUCUUCGGAUCGUAAAACUCUGUUAUUAGGGAAGAACAAAUGUGUAAGUAACUAUGCACGUCUUGACGGUACCUAAUCAGAAAGCCACGGCUAACUACGUG
rnacentral:rRNA from 1 species